UUAGCUUGACAAAUGGAGCUAUUGGCUUUGAAUUGUAUUGUGGAAAUGUAUUACCAACAGAGGUGCAGGUGCCAGCCUAUUGAAAUAAAGCGUCAAUGAGGGUGAGAAUCCUGUUUGCCAUGUGCAGCCCUUUGUGCACGGUGUAUAUUUACUGAGUCACACUCCUUGGCAUUGGAAUGCAAAGUGGGUGGUAAGUUUCAUGUAAAGGUAAACAUGCAAUUGAGACUGAUAGCACACAAGUACCAUGAGGGAAAUAUAAAAAGGACUUUGAAAAAAAAAUUAAAUGAAUUUGUAUUUGCUGAACACAAAGUAAACAGAAUUGAUUUGCUUGGUGGGAAUGGUGCACUUGCUUGACAAAAACUUUGGGCUGGGGGUGUAAUGAUUCUUUCUUUGCAUGCCAAUUUCCAUUUGUACAUCUGAAUACCUUUGCACAUGAAUGAAAAAUCUCCUGUGGGGGGGGGGAUUGCAUGUGCAUGUAAUGAUUUGUGUUUUGAAAAAUGUGUCUGGUGUAUGGUGUGUGUUCCUGUGCUUGGGGAUGCUUCCUUCCUUGGACUUACAAGCCCUGACACACACAUGCUGGCAAAAUGCUUCUGCUUGACCCGUCUUGAAACACGGACCAAGGAGUCUAACAGAUGUGCAAAGUUUGAAGGUGGUAUACCUUUGUGUGCAAUGAAAGUGUCAGCUGGGAUAUGUGCACCAGCACCCAAUUAAUUAGCGGACAGAGGUUUGAGUUGGAGCAUAUCUAUUAGGACCCGAAAGAUGGUGAACUAUGCC
rnacentral:rRNA from 1 species